rnacentral:lncRNA from 1 species
CUGACUUCAUCACACAAACUACAAACAAAGCAGCUUUUUUAACCCAUUCCUCCCAGAACUUCUUAAACCAGCAAGGACCUGGGAGGCGUCUGUUCUCUCCCUCAACCACCACACCAUCCCUUCAAGCCACAAGACAAAAGUGCACCUUGGUCACCACCAUAGACCCAGCAGAGCACACCACCACCUCACCUACCCCAGCUCUGCAAUUAACAAACCCCAACCAAGCCACACCCACACUGCUCAGUUAUUUACCUUGCAAAAGAAACACCUUCUCCAACAUCUAGACAAGGUAUUCACGUACAAUUUACUACUCUCAAGAUACGUGCAAACACUUGAAAGUAUCUCUGAAAACCAAGAUUACUGGGUACUUGACCUCCCCUCACAGACACCGAAGCAAGGCCGGCAGCCUACAACGCUCCCCACCUCCGGCACUCACAUUUGUGACUAACCCACAAACAUCGCCCCGGAUUACCAGGGCGGGGGGGGAUGCCUUCCUUUCGGGUGCACUUCAAAUAAAAACAGCUCAGCGAUAAACCUACCCCUACAAUGACCUUCGAGGCUGAAGCCUCAGCGCCGCUCUCCCGCCGGGCCGCCCCGGCUCUCCACAGGCACGCGCCCACGCCUCGCGCCGCUCCGGAGGCUUCCCGCCCCGCGCAUGCGCAGUGCCCACCCGCUGACAGGCGGCACGGCCCGGCCCGGCCCGGCGCUGCCUCGAGAUGGCGGCCGAGCCUGAGGGGCCGAGUGCGCCCCCCCUCCCCCCUCCGUCUUCCCUCAGGACAAGAAGCUUAUACUGAGUGGACAACAACUUCUCACAUGGCCACAUGUUGGGGUAAAUGCUGGAGGAGGCAGUGCCAGAGGUGGCUGUGCAAAGCGGAACCGCGGCAUCUCUCAAAACUGCUGGAAUUGAUUCCAGGUUUUCAGUUGUAA